rnacentral:lncRNA from 1 species
GCAGAGAUAACGUUUUCGUUAAUAAUGCUACGGAUUUUGGCGAAAAGAAAAAUAAUCCAACAAUUGAAGGCGGAGUGGAGGGUAAUAGCGGUGACGGUGUUGGCGAGAGUGGCAACGGUGGAAGUGGCCACAACUACACCAUCUCUACCAACAUCAACAGCAUCAUAACAACAAAUACGACGACAACAACUACAAAAACAAUAGCAAAAAUAAAAGGUUUGAUGAUGUAGCGAACACAAAGAGAGAAAUGUUUGCCAUCGGACUCGAUGAAGCCCAGAUGCAACAUCUGUGGAGUCACUAACCACCUGAGAGCUUUCUGUCCCAAAAGGUUGGGAGGUAUGCGGCUAUGCCUGCAACCUACAUCGCACCCCCAAAACAGCAACAGCAACAACAGAGACCUUCUAAUAAAACGGUAGCCUCAUCUCCAACAACAGUAGACGCACCACUACCUCAACCAAAUCCACCAAUGCACUCAUAACCACAUGUAGUCCCCAAAAGAAAGCUCAGUCACCAAUACGCAAACACCAAAUUAUGUGCUCGUGAGGAGAGCCAACAAAAAUUUUUUGACUUUCAUAGCAAGAAACAAGGGGAUUGAGAGAGGGGGUGUAAUUUACGACACCAUCACCCUUAGGGUUCCAGAUCACUUAAUGCUACUCAAACCAUACAAAGAAAUUCAGAAGGAUUUCCCGCAUGACGUGGGAAGGUCAAACGUUUGUGCUACGAAAAGGCUUUUAGCCCGUUUCCCAGAGGCUGCCAACAGCUCCAAGAGGGUAAGUAAGCUCACUCUUUUUUUUUCAUUUCCUCAACCCUUUCGUGUCGUUAUGGCGAUUGUCAGAGUGGGCUGUGUAAUUGACCUCAGAUCGCUAGGCUUGGAUGUGAUAGCAGCCAGUGAGAUUAGGAUUUCCGACACGCGAUCUUGCAUCCCUUUUCGACGAUUAUGAGAUCUGCGCAUCUCUUAGUUAGCCCGGAAUGGGAGGCGGGAUGGCAGUGCUAUUUAGGAAAGGCCUGAAUCUCGAAGUUCGGACAAUCUUCCGGGAACCGGAGGGUGGGUUGGUGGUCCUGGAUGUAAGCGACAGUGAAGGUGGUGCCUUUAGACUAGUCGCUGUGUACACCCCACGGAAGCAAGGCAGCCAGAUUUCUUCAAACAUUUGGAAGUUUUCCUUGGGUCAUCACGCUCUUUAAUGUUAGUGGGUGACUAGAACGCCAUCUUGGACGCACGCCUGGAUAGGAGAGGGGGGAUUAAAAGCCUCACAAACUUGCUCAGUCGCUUCCAGUUGACUGACAGGUACCGACUGGAUUUCCCGAAUGCGCCAAUAUGGACAUGAGCGAACCGCAUCGGAUCUUCUAGAUCGUAUCUAGAUAGAGUAUUUUGUAGGCCUGUAGAUAGAAUUAGUAUACGUUCUCCACGUUUCAAAGUCGUCAGCUACACGGGCCAUAAAUUUGUGAUCUGUACGGUUGAUAUAGAUAGGAUCCAGAGACAAGGCCCCGGAUACUGGAAGCUGAACGCAUCCUUCCCGGUGCGCCAAACUCUCAGAGACCGGGUUAGCAAGCUAGUCCAUCGAGAGUUGGCAGAGGCAAUCGUCAACAGCCGUUAGUGGAUAGCCCUGAAAAGGGGUAUUAGAGUAGAGGCAGUAGGUUCUAGUAAGGAAAUAGCGUUUGAGGAAUCUAGGAUAGAGGAAAACCUGGUUAGGAAGCUAGAAGAGGCGCUUAGGAAAGGCGUAGCGACCGACGUGCUAGCGUUGAGAUUGGCUCAAGCACGAAUGUUGUAGUGCCAGAGCUAGGGCGCAUGCACAGAGGCCGAAGGGGACGAAAGCCGUUCGAUGGGCUCUGGUGGCAGAGGCGCAACAUGGAAACAAAACAACAAUUCGGUCCUUGGCGAGAUGUGAUGGAUGCAUGAUAACCGUGUCCAAGCUGAUGUGUGCAGAAUUUCAGCAGUACUUCGCCGAACUGUAGGAGCGCGAGAUGGUUCUGUGACGGUGGUGGAUUUCACCUCCUAUCUCAGUGGCAUGCAGCGCCUCUCAGCCAGGGAGGCGGAGUUCUACAAAAUGCUGAUAACAGCUGAAGAUAUACAGAACGCAUGAAGGCCUGCGCAAGAGAGAAGUCUCUGGGGCGAGAUGGUCUGCCUUUCGAGCUUUAUUUUCAUAUGCCAGACUUGUUUGAUGGUCUCUCGGCAGACGUCUACCAUAACUGGCAUCAGAACGGGAGAAUUCCCAGGGCUGUGAGCCGUGGAGUGGUGGUGCUGUUGAGGAAGGUGCCGAACGAGGGGGACAAAAUUGAUCAUUUUAGGCCUAUAACUCUGCUGAAUGCAGAUUAUAAGAUUCUGGACAAAGUGUUUGCCAAGAGGUUGGCACUUGUCGUCAAUAAGCUGGUUGGUGACUCGCAUACAUGCGCUAUCCCAAACAGAACUAUCCACAAACUCCACCACACGCGGAGAGGGUGGCUAAGGAACCUAGCAUGGGUGAGGUCCUGAUCAAUUUGGAUCAAUCGAAAGCUCUUGAUAGGGUUACCCACCAAUAUUUGGAGGCUGUUCCUGCAGCAGCGGGUUUCGGUCCUGUUUUCAGAGGCUGGAUCGCUGCAAUGUACUGUGACAUUUGUUCGGUGGUUAAAGUAAAUUGCCACCAAUCGGAAUCGUUUAGCAUCGCUCUUUCGGUCCGUCAAGGACAUCCACUCUCACCUCUUUGGGGCGUAUUGGCUCUCGAGCCAUUGCUGCGGAAGCUGAAUAUUUCGAGGGGCAUCCCGCGUGAUCUAGGAUGCGAAAGUUUCGUGUUGGCUUACCUGGACAACUCGGAUAUCUCGUAAAUCGAGGCAGUGCACUCUGCUCAAAGGGAGUACGAAGCUGUGACGGGAGUAAAGAUAAACCAGAAGAAGUCGGUGGGCCUGCAGCUCGGCACCUGGAGAGGCAGGUCCAUGCCAACCGACAGCAUUGUAAGGCACUGCACGAAAGGACCGGUUAAACUGCUCGGGGUCUGGUUUGGUCGAAACUGUCAGAUGGACAAGAACUGUGGGAGGUGACGAGGGUGGCCAAUCUCAACCAGAAAUAGGUAGAGAGGACUCUGAAGGGUCGGGAGGAGGUGGCGAAUGCGUACAUCACUUCUGUCAUCUACUACUGCCUGACCGUCGUCACUUGCUCCACUUCGUACAUGAUAAAGAUGGAGUGCUUGCUCGUCCACUUUCUAUGGAAGGGACGUAUUCCGCUCAUCAGAUGGUAUAUCUGCUGUCAACAGCCGCUAAGUGGAGGACUGAGUAUGCCGUGGAUAAUGAUGCGCAAACAUGCGCUGAGGCUGAGACAUCUCCAGCGUUUUCUUAACGGUGAGCAGGAGUGGUCACCGUUCGUCAAACAGGACUUUCCGCAGCUCGUCUCAUUGAUGGAGCUAGUCCUGGCUCAAGCGUAGACCAAGAAAGUGCGCUUGGUACCUGGAGUGUCCGUCAGCUGGGCAACGCGGUCGGUGGAAGUGCCAUCAUGGAGUUCUAUAGAGGAUUAGUGGAGGGAAAGUGUGACGAUGCACUCGAGAAAACUCUGGGCGUCGACAGGGAUGAGCUAACUGGCAAUGCUACCGAGGAGCUUUGCCGGUUCCAGACAAGCUCUACAGACACGGAAGUGCUAUCAGACUAACCUGUCAGAGGUGUUCUCAGGGCGAUAAAACCGUCCUACAUGCACUUGCCCAGUGUCCGUGCAUUGCUGAACUCUGGAGCUUUAUUUACAUUUGAUGGAUAUUUGUCCUCAUCUUGUUUGUUAACAACGUUUCGGCUGAUAUACCCUCCAGCCUUCAUCAGGUGUUUGGGGAAAAUUUCGAACCUGGGUUCUCAUUCCUAAGGUAUUUUUCGAUGUAGUGGUUAAGAGCGCGGGCUACUAACCCCAAGAUUCCGAGUUCGAUUCCAGACAGUAACCUGAACAACAACAACAACAACAACAACAACAACAACAACAACAACAACAACAACAACAACAAUAAUAAUAAUAAUAAUAAUAAUAAUAAUAAUAAUAACAACAACAUCGAAAAAUACCUUAGGAAUGAGAACCCAGGUUCGAAAUUUCCCCAAGACACCUGAUGAAGGCUGGAGGGUAUAUCAGCCGAAACGUUGUGUUAACAACAAACAAGAUGAGGACAAAUAUCCGCCAAAUGUAAAUAAUGUACAUAAUUCCUUAUCUCUUAAAUAUAGAACUUUGGAGCUUUGUCGAACAGCUGUUGUCAUGUGUAGGACAGGUCUGGUUAUCAGCCAAGUCCAUUGUGAGGAUCGCCCCGCCGUCUUCUUUUGGCUGGGGGGGGGGAAAGGCAGAUUUCCUCUGCCUGGUGGCUAUAGCGAAAGAGGUAGUGUGGUGGACGAGGCUGAAAGGACUGACGACAUACACUUUCCUCAUCGCCUUUUUCAAGUUCCACUUGAGAAAGAAAAUGAGAGUAGAGAGGGAAGUACAGCCCCCAGUAAUUUUGUGGGUGAAUGUUUCGAAAAUGGCUCGUAUGAAUGGGCCUAUUCUGAAUAUUUGUCUGUAAGCUGGAGCAGUUGAGGGGAAGAGGGCUGCCUACCUGGCUUGCCCUUGGCAGUCGGGAUGACCAGGAUGUGUGGGGUGCCCUGGUUGGCCCUGGGUAGAACUCCACUCACCCCACUAUUGGGGAAUUUUUGUUAACUGUUUUUGUUUUCUACGGUUUACACAUUUUCCGUUUUAGACCCAACUUAUCCCUUGUUUUGUAUUGCCCCUAUAUAUUUUUGUGUUCAGCCCUUGUAGCCAAUAAAAAAGGAUUAUAAAUAAAAGAAUUAAUUAUUAAUAAAAUAAUUUAUUAUUAUUAUUAUUAUUAUUAUUAUUAUUAUUAUUAUUAUUAUCCUUUCGGGGUCGCUAAAUUAAGUACCAGUAAAACACUGGGUCGGUUAAAUCGACUAGUCCCCACACAAAAAAAAUUCAGGCGUUUUGCCUAUGGUAGAAAGGAUUAUUAUUAUUAUUAUUAUUAUUAUUAUUAUUAUUAUUAUUAUUAUUAUUAUUAUUAUUAUUAUUAUAUUUUAAAAAAGGAUUGACGUAACUCUUCACAAAGGUAAACAGUCAAGACGAAGAGCGCGAUUCGAUUGUAAGUUAUUUUAUUGAACGAUAUUUCAACAGUAUGUCUGUCUUUGUCAAGUUCAAAAUAAGAAGCGAUAAAAAUUCAGAAAUUUAAAGGUAAAGUAUGAAUGAGAGCAAGUAGCGUCCACACGUUGAUGGAAUGACAUCAUCAGUUUUAAAGUCUUUAACAGGCGAAAAGAAAGAAAAACACAGAAAAAAGAAGACGACAGAAAAAAAGAAAGAAAAAGAGAGAAAGAAGAAUAUUUAAUCAAACAGCUUUGUAUAAAUUUGAUGAUAUUUUGCUGUCAUCUUAUUCAUCCCUCCAGGGCAUGAUGUUAAUAACCCGCAAACAUAUUUCCCCUCAUACAUUCUGAGAAGUGAAAGCGAAGUAGAUUCAGAAUAUUUUCUGAGAAUAUGCACUUUCAAGUCUUCUUCAAAAUUGCAGCCGCUUGAAACGAAAUGUUCAGCAAGUUCUAUCGAACUACUGUUAUUGUGCCUGACGUCGAAUCUGUGGCCAUUAAACCUUUUGUUUAAUUGUUCCGUUGUGCAAUUAACAUAAAUUAAGUUGUGUUUUGUGCAUUCUGUAGCGUACACCAAAUGGGAAUCUUUACAUGUUCCACCUUCUGUAUAAAUCAUAACAUUUCUGUUAUGAUUUCUGAUGGAAUUCACUUCACUCAUGUGAACACAAUGAACAGGGCUUACCUCGGAUCUUUUCGGUUUGAACGGCAGUUUUUUCUAGCGGUGUCAUAUGAAAUUGUCACCCAUAAUUAUGACCCUAGUAUCGAUCUAUUGCAUUUCAAUCUCUUUUAGGGUAUGGGUUAGGGUUAGGGGUGCGGGAAUGGGUAUCUUUUUUUCUUCAGAAAUGUAAAUAAACCCAAUCUGUUUCUAAAAUGAGGGACAUACAGCACAUAAUGUUUUCACCUCAAUAGACGUCAUUGAUUGGUUGAAAUAGCAGAAAUUGAAGAAAAAAACAACAAAUAUCUUACAAACUAUAGAAUUUUCUCAAUAAAGAUGUUUUAUAAACACAUUCUACAAGUAUACGAAGUUUAAAAGUGUUUAGUUACGUGGAAAAUAUUUUUAAAAACUGCCGUUCAAACCGAAAAGAUCCCUUACCUCUCUUGCAGCUGUUCUUUAAGGUACAGCGUGUAGAUACUUCAAUGUUCGUUUUCUUGGAAUCAGAUAUAGAGGUCAAUAAUUCUCUUAUAUUCUUAUUCCGUCUAAAGGCUACAAUAGGCGGCUGAGGAAAUAUCUGUUUGAAGCGAGGAUAUUUUUUCGCCACAUGCUGGUAACUUUCAUGCAACACUUUUGAAAUGCCAGCGAAAUGCCGGUGCCAGUUAAUCACUAAAGGAAUUAUGUCAUCUAUUGUAUUGUGUUUGCUAAAAUUAUGUCUGUAGGUUUGACUAUCUUUGUCAAUCUUAGCUAUUUCAUUUGCUAUUUCCUUUAAUCGUGAUUCACUGUAACCGCGUUUGGCAUAAUGACAUACGAAAGCAUUUGUAUGUUUCCAGUAUUCCAGUAUUUUGAGGAUAAAACGCGUUUGUACUGACAUAAGGAUGUCAGUACAAACGCGUUUUAUCCUCAAAAAUUUGAAUUUCGGAUUUGACCGAAUAAGAUGAUGUGGAUGAUCGGAGCGGCGGUGGAGAUAAAUGUGGGAUGACGUGGGCUUGCAAAAUAAUUCUGCCUCCAGAAAACUUGACUUUAGUGUCCAAAAAUUCAACGCUAGUUUUUGAAUACCUAGACGUAAAUUUUAUGUUGAACUUAAAGCCAUAGUUUCUAGCAUAAAAGUCACAGAAAUGCAAGAAGUCUAUUAAACUAUCCUGUGAUCCUUCCCAGACAAAAAAUACAUCGUCAGUGAACCGUAACCAGAGUAUUGGUUUAUGACCAUGAAGAGAUUUGAAUGUCUUUAGUAAUUGUCUCGAAUUUCAUCAUGAAGACAUUAACGAAAUUAACUGCCAUGGGGAUACCCAUGGCGCAACCCUUUGUCUAGUGGUAAAAUCUUUGUCUAAACUUCAUUGUGUUACUUUCUAACCCAAACCUCAAUAAUCUACAGAGAAAAUUUGAUGGAAUACUUUUGUUUGACCGCUUUUGGAAGGCAUCCAUGCAUGCUUCUACCCCCUCAUCGUGGUCAAUAUUGGGAUAUAAGGAAGAAACAUCCAUGGUUACCAAAAAACAGUUCUCAAUAUGGCCUCGGUGCUUGAAAAAGUUAUUGAUUUUAGAUACAAAAUCAAACGUAUCCCGAAUAUAGGAACUUGAUCGUUUUGCUGCGGGGAGUAGAAAGCUAUCUAGCCAUUCCGAAAUUUUGGCCGUGCAACAUUCAUAUCCGCUGCAAAUUGGGCGCAUUGAAGGAAAUCUUUCGAACUUUUUGUGUAUUUUAGGGAGACCAUAAAAUACAGGUGUUCUUUCUGACCUUAAAAUCUUAGAUUCAGCCUUAUUAACGAAAUUGUUUUCCUCCAUUUCCAGAAUUAUUUUGUCAAGUUCCUCUCUGUAAUUGGGGUUUGGAUCGACAGGUAAUUCUUUAUAUGAAGUUUUGUCAUGUAAAACUUCUUCACAAGCCGAAAUAUACUCACUUUUGUCCAUAAUUACUAUAGCGCCUCCCUUAUCCGCCAUCUUAAUAACAAUAGAAUUGUUAUUAGCUAGACGUUGGAGUGCGUAACGUUGGGAAUUUGUGAGGUUGUCCCAGGAUUUCUUUCCACUUGUUUUAAGGCUUUCUCUAAUGCCUGCUUGACAAGAUUCAAGAAAUUCCAGUAGUGCUUGUGAACGUUUAAGGAUGCUGAACAAAACACCCAUAUUUUCAGAAGUGUAUAAUUCAAAUCCCAACUGGUUAAGGUCAAAGGUCUGACAAGCAAAUCUGUGAUGUUGAGCAGAAUAUGUACAUGAUAACACUUCCAAUCAGUUAAGAUCAGAAGUCAUGAGAGCCAGUGCCUGGUAUUUCUUCUUCUUCUUCUUCUUCUUCUUCUUCUUCUUAUUAUUAUUAUUAUUAUUAUUAUUAUUAUUAUUAUUAUUAUUACAAAAGGAGAAGAAAGGGGACUCUAUACACCCCCUUUUUUUUACCAGGCUCCCGUUGGCUUUUGUAGGGUUUUUUCCACCAGGAACCUUUCGAGACGUCUCCCCCUUUUGGGAGUUUUUCAUUGUUGAAUUUUAUAAGUUGUUAUAAAGAUUUUUACUCGAUGUUUUUAAAAAACGGCAAAACCCUUUGUAACCUUUCGUCCUGUCUUGUCCCUUUAUGUAAUCAUGCGUGUCAGCCCUUGUGGCCAAUAAAAAAAAGAAUUGAUUAUUAUUAUUAUUAUUAUUAUUAUUAUUAUUAUUAUCAUUAUUAUUUUAUUAUUAUUAUUAUUAUUAUUAUUAUUAUUAUUAUUAUUAUUAUUAUUAUUAUUAUUAUUAUUAUCACCAUCAUCAUCAUUAGCAUUUCUAUGUUUGACUUUUGCUUUGUAUUUGUACAAGCUGACUCCAUGUCUCACCCAGGGACCUCAAGAGACAACAAGUUAGAAGUUUAUGUUGGUGUUAUGCCUAGGGUGUCAUAUAUUUGGUUUUGCACAUACUAUUGUUCUAGAAAAUGUUUAAGAAAACAUAAGAAAAUUAUGAGUUUGUUUCAAGAUUUGAGAUUACAUAGACAGUGUUCUGCGUAGGAUAUGGGCAGUUCCCAUGAGCACUGUCUUUUGAAUUUCUGCCCUUUUUGGGUUUCCUGCUAUUUGAGCUAGGUAGGAAUCAGCCCCUUUUGCUAUCAUUCCAUGGACACCUAUGACAACAGGCAUUGUUUUAGUCUUGAGGUUCCACAUUUUGCCAAUUUCUAUUUCAAAAUCUUUAUACUUGCUCAGUUUUUGGUAGGUCUUGACAGAUACAUUUAUGUCGAUUGGGACAGUCAUAUCAAUGAGAAGGCAUGAUUUUUGUCUGAAGUUUUUCAAUAUAAUGUCUGGCCGAUUUGCAUCUGUCUUUCCGUCAGCUUGAAUGGUGAAGUUUCAGAGGAGUGAGAUGUGAUCAUUCUCAAGCACUGGAGGUGGUUUGUGUUCCACCAGUGUUUAUCAUGGGGCACAUCCGGUUUUUUUCAAAUUACCCAGUGAAUAUAUUGUGCUGCUCUAUCAAGAUCAAUGGUUUCAUUUUGUUGUUUACAUACACGAAAUGUUGAGCUACUGCUGUUCUUUAAUAUGUUGGCCUGGUGGGUUCUUGUAGGUAGGCAUUGGUCAUAGGCUGCUAUGAUAAACGCUACUGUUUCUGAUUUUAAGCCAGAAGACACUAACCAUUGAUGAAUAAGGGCUUCGUCAACUUCGGCACUAUUAGCUCUCUUUGGGUGUGUGCAACUGAGAGGUUUUUCUUGCCAUUUAUCAGUAAGAAUAUCUAAGGCAGCAGUUUUAGCACGGGUUUUCAAACAAGCUUUUUCGGUGUUUGUUAUUAUUAUUAUAAUUAUUAAUAUCAUCAUCAUCAUCAUCAUCAUCAUCAUCAUCAUCAUCAUCAUCACCAUCAUUAUUAUUAUUAUUAUUAUUAUUAUUAUUAUUAUUAUUAUUAUUAUUAUUAUUAUUAUACAGUAGUUUUAUUUUUAUAGCGUGCUUUCACUUCACUACCGAGCGCAGCUCUGUGUGCCUUAGGUAUGUGCUGUGAUUUGUUGUGAUGCUCUGAUGGUUAUUGUAUGGAAAGUGUUCUGCGUAGGAUGUGUGCAGUGCCUAGUAGUGCAAUUUUCUGUAUGUUAUAUGUGUUUGUAAGUCCUGGUGUUUUUGUUAUGUAUUUGUCUGAAUAUUUUUUAUCAUGCCUAAUGCACCUACUAUGAUAGGAAUUGUUUCUGUUUUUAGAUUCCACAUUCUGGUUACCUCUAUUUCCAGGUCUUUGUAUUUUGAAAGUUUCUCCAUUUCUUUUAGAGACACGUUGUCAUCUGCCGGUAUUGAUACAUCAAUUAAAAAGCAUUUUUCUUCUUCAUGAUCUCUGACAACUAUAUCUGGUCUGUUGGCCUUAAUCUCUCUAUCUGUGUGUAUCGGCAUAUCCCAGAGUAUGGUUGCUUUCUCGUUUUCUGUGACCUUUUCUGGUGUGUGCCUAUACCAUCUUUUUUCUGUUGUUAUUCCAUAAUGUUGGCAUAGCUUCCAGUGUAUGUAGGUUCCAACUCUGCCAUGUCUGUGAAUAUAUUCCUUCUUAGCCAGGACUGUGCAGCCAGAGAUAAUAUGAUUUAUUGUUUCUUGUCCAUCUCCACAUAUUCUGCAGUUACUUGUUAUAUUUCUUUUCAUUACAUGUUUUUGGUAAUUGGUAAUUUUAUUAUUAUUAUUAUUAUUAUUAUUAUUAUUAUUAUUAUUAUUAUUAUCAUCAUCAUUUUUAUUAUUAUUAUCAUUAUUAUCAUUAUUAUUAUUAUUAUUAUUAUUAUUAUUAUUAUUAUUAUUAUUAUUAUUAUUCAGUGAGAGUGCAGUGCAUACCAUCAGAGUGAUACUGGGGUACAAAUAUACCCAUCAUCACUUCCCGUCUGAUAAAGGUACACCAGGCACAUGCACCACAACCAUAUGUUCACGACUUGGUGAUCUCGUAACAAGAUAAAUAUCACUUAACUUUGCAGAUAGGCACCAGUUGGAAUUCUUUUCAGGUCGAGUAGCCUAUCCUACACAAGUCCUGAAUAAGAUUUGUUUCCGGAGGUGAAUAAUUCAAACCCCCAAAGAAUUCCUUUCAAUACAUGGUUAUGAUGUUUCCCCACCACUUCUUGUGAUCAGCGAUGCACAUAUCAUCAGCCACGAAGGAACAUGCUCAACUGGUUAAGGUCAAGCAACUGACAAGCAAAUCAAUGGUGUUGAGUAGAAUAUUUGGUGUAGCCCAUCUUUUAUACCGAGACAAAAUAUAUACAUGAGAGCCAGUGCCUGGUACUGCAUCAAGACAUGAUUAUUAAUAAUAGUAAUUAUUAUUAAUAUUAUUAUUAUUAUUAUUAUUAUUAUUAUUAUUAUUAUUAUUACUUUUUUUUCUUCUUCUUUCGAAUUUGCUAUCAUUUCUUGCCGAGUGUCUUCCCGACUCCUAGGGCAAAGAAACUCAUAGUAUACAUUGGUAGGCCAUUAAACCAAACUCAGUAGUUCGUUCAUUUUUUUUUUUUUUUUUUUUUUAAAGUUAAAUUAAAAUACAUGAGCAGCAACAGUUCUCACAUCGACAAUGCUCUUCUCAAUACGUGUGAUGUACCAGUUAAGACAAUCUUUUGCACUUCUUGCAGGGAUGGUAAGCCAGGGAUCAUUCUCAUAUAAUUUUCGGUUCCCUUCUUGAUCAUUCCUAGUGCUCCUACGAUCACUGGUAUUGUAACCGCCUUGAGAUGCCACAUUUUCUCAAUUUCAAUGAGUAGGUCUUUAUAUUUUCUGAGCUUGUCAAACUCUUUCGCUGAGAUAUUAUGAUCACAGGGGAUGCUCAUGUCGAUCAAUAAGCAAACUUUAUUGUUUUGGUCUUUCACAACAAUAUCUGGUUUAUUGGCCUUGAUGGUUCGGUCUGUAUGUACUGGAAAGUCCCACAUAAUGGUUACAUUUUCUCCUUCAGUUACAGCCUCAGGGUGGUGAUUAUACCACUUGUCGGCAGUUUUGAUAUUGUAAUGCCGACUUAUUAGCUAGUGGAGAUAUUGGCCAACUCUGUCAUGUCUUAAUUUAUACUCCACUGGUGCUAAGACUUUACAUCCAGAGAUUAGGUGGUCCACUGUUUCAAUCAUGUCGUUGCAGAAUCGGCAUUUUGGGUCUGCUCCAUUUUUCAUCACAUUGGCCUGGUAGUUCCGAGUUAAUAGGCUUUGAUCUUGAGCAGCCAGGAUGAAACCUUCGCUCUCUGCUUUUAGCCCUGAGCUCCGUAGCCACUGAUGGGUUUGCUUCUGGUCAACAUCAGCUUGUUUGCUGCGGGUCACAUAUUUGCCGUGCAGAGGUUUCUCCUCCCACCUAUCAGCCAAUUGCUCGUGCGCUUUUUUCAUUGCCAUCAUUUUCACCUUCUUUGCAACAAUAGUUGCCGUACUUCUCUCGGGUUGUUCAGUUUGGGUAUCCUGCACGAGAUCAAUAGCAAAUUUUUUGCUUUCCUUUAUGAUAGAAUGAAGCUUCUUUCGUCUCUCGUGAUUUUCCACGAGCUUUAGCAUCCAGUCAUUCGAUAUUUCGAGAUAUUUGGCCAGUCCAAUUGUGGUUGUUUUGUAAGCUAGUUCAAAUUGGAUCAGGCCUCGACCUCCUUGGGCUCUGGGAAGGAUAAAGGCGAUCUACGUCUGCCUUUGGGUGGUGCAUCCUAUUACAACUCAGCAGCUUGCGUGUUUUCCUAUCUAUAUUCUUUACUUCACUCAUAUUCCAGUUCAACACAUUGUAGCUAUAAGUAACAACUGGAACUGCUAAGGAAUUUAUAGCUAACACCUUGUUACGUGCAUUUAGUUCAGAUUUCAGGACUGCACGAACUCUCCUAUAACAUUCCUUCCUGAUUUUCUCUUUCAUGCUUGCAUGCUGAAUACCAGAGCCUUCAUUUAUCCCUAAAUAUUUGUAUGUUUGUUCUUGCUCAAGCUCUCUUAUGACUGUGUCAACAUCUAACACGACUAAAUGGCCUUGGCACACUUCUCAAGUCCAAACUCCAUCCCGAUGUCAUCGCUGAAUGCUUUCACGGUGCGCAAUAGGCCUUCAAGUUCAUUAUUGUCUUUACCAUAAAGUUUUAAGUCAUCCAUAUAAAAUAGAUGGCUUAUUUUUUUAUUGGCAAUUUUAUACCCAUACCCUGUUCUGUUUAAUUCACUUGUAAGGGGUAUUAGGGCUAUGCAGAAUAUUAAAGGUGAAAGUGAGUCACCUUGAAAAAUUCCACAGUUGAUGUUUAUAUUUUCUGAGGCAAGUACUCCAUUAGAGUGGUAUAAUUGGAGAUUCGUAUUCCACAACGACAUAUUGUGCUUCAGGAAGUUUGAAAUCACAGGGGAAAUUUUGAAGAUGUCCAGCGAUCUCAAGAUCCAUGGAUGCGGUAUACUGUCGAAGGCCUUUUUGUAGUCAAUCCAUGCGGUGCUGAGAUUUCUGCGCUUGUUGUGACAGAUUGAUUAGCAGUUGAUCUUUGCAUCCGUAAGAGCCUCGGCGGCACCCUUUUUGUUCAAUGGGGAAAAUAUCGUUCUUCUCCAUGAAUGCAUAUGUUUUCUCCGCCAGGAUAGAUGUUAGGAUUUUAUACGUGGUGGACAGACAGGUUAUAGGCCGAUAGUUUUUAUCAUUAUCAUUAUUAUUAUUAUUAUCUUCAUUAUUAUUCAGUAGUCUUACUUUUAUCACAUGCUUUCACUGCACUACCGAGCGCAGCUCUGUGAGCCUUGGGUGUGUGCUGUGGUUUGUUGUGAGGCUGUUAUUUUUACUGUAUUGAAAGUGUUUUACGUAGGAUGUGUGCGGUACUGAGAAAUGCUAUUUUCUGAAUGUUACAUAUAUUUGUUAGUCCGGGUGUUUUUGCUAUGUAUUUGUCUGAAUUAUUAUUAUUAUUAUUAUUAUUAUUAUUAUUAUUAUUAUUAUUAUUAUUAUUAUUGAGUGAGAGAGCAGUUCAUGCCAUCAAAGUGACACUGGGGUAAAAUAUACGAAGCCCAAUAUACCCAUCAUGACAUGACUACCCGUCUGAUAAGGGUACACCAGGCACAUGCAUCACAACCAUAUGUGCGCGACAUGGUGAUCUCAUAUCAAGAUAAACAGCACAUGACCUUGCAGGUGGGGCCCAGUUAGAAUUUUCUUCAGGUCGAGUAGCCCAUCUCGCUCAAAGGGUCCCUGAAUAAGGGUUGUUUAAGGAUGUAGAACGAAACACUAAUGUUUCCAGAGGUGAAUUAUUCAAACCCCAAAGAAUCCCUCUCAACACAUGGCUAUGAUGCUCCCCCACUACUUCUGCUCGUGAUCAGAGAUGCACAUAUCGUCAGCCACAAAGAGACAUGCUCAACUGGUUAAGGUUAAACAACUGACAAGCAAAUCUGUGGUAUUGAGCAGAAUAUUUGCUGUAGCCCAUCUUUUAUACCAAGACAAAACAAUGUACAUGAUAACACCUCCAAUCAGUUAAGAUCAGAAGCCAUGAGAGUCACUGCCUGGUACUGCAUCAGGGCCAUUAUUAUUAUUAUUAUUAUUAUUAUUAUUAUUAUUAUUAUUAUUAUUAUUAUAUGAAAAUUCACAGCUUACUUUGCUGGGUAUGAUGAAAAGUGUCAGCUGUCCACAGCCAGCAGACUAAGGUGACACUUGUUUACUGGUCAUACUUCAAGAACCUUGCAAAGAAUUAUUGCAGUUCAAAAUAAUGCUGAUUUUUGUAGGUGUUCUACCUUCACACUUGCUGCAGUCUUUUUCAGCCAUGUUGGUAGUUGAGUGCUGAUACUUUCAAGUGCACCAAUUACUAUUGGUAUCACGUCUACUCAUUGACCACAGCCUUUGUAUUUCCCACUUUAAAUCGUCACAGUCGUUUAUCUUUUCUUCUUUCACAUUCAUACUUUUGUCACCGGGGCAUGCUAUGUCGAUCAUCACACAUGCUCUUUAUUUCAAUUCACUCAACAAUAUCCGGUUUCCUAUGUCUGGUCGGGUGAUUACACAGGAUUUUGCAAUUCUCAUUUUCGGUGACUCCUUCUGGAGUUUGCUCAUACAACGUCUUUACUCUUUGUAGGCCAUGAUUUCCAUUGAGCUCCCAAUGGAUCAUUCUUGCCACAUUAUCAUGGAAUCGUUUGUGUUCGCGUUGUGCCAAUUUCGGGUAUUCGCUAACGACGUACCAUACUGUUAUCACCCCUCACACCACACAUUCUGCAUUUGUCGCUAUUGGUAGAGCUGUCUAUUCUGCACUUCGUUGACGCAUUUCCUUAACGUUUGUUCUUGAGCUGCGCAUAUGAGUGCUUCUGUCUCUAUCUUCAGAUCACUCUUCAUCAUCCAUAGCCACCGGUACUUUGUAUGUCUUGACGUUCACAUCUCUUGCAAACUGGCCAUAUAUUUUUCCUUCCCUGCUUUUUCUUAUUUUUUUGUUCAUUUCUUGUUUAAAUUUUUCUUUAGUUACACAAUUUUCAGUUUUGAUAAUACCAGCCCUCUUCGUGUGUUUCAACAGUGGCUCCACGGCAUUUUUACAUACCACCCUCAAUACUAAAACAAUGGACCAUGUUCACCAAGAAACUCACUUGUGUCUCAUCUUUGCCAUACAGUUUCAAAUCAUCCAUGAAGAGGAGGUGGUUGAUUGUUUGGGGUUUUCCCUUUCCUCAAGUUUUUUUCCUGCAAAAUCCCACAUUGAUUUCUUACUCAAGCUUUUUCUCUUGUAAAGUCGCCAAUCCACUAAAAUUAAGAAAUAUUUAGUUGUUUAAAUCCGUCAGGAUAUCUUUUUUAAGAAGAAGCCAUUACUUGAUCAUUUGGCCUUCAAGAAAUAGCACUCAAAUCUCCUUCAAAUUAUACUCUACCGUUUGGGGAAAAACAUAAUGGUAAUGUAGUCGUAGAAGAAAAGUGAUCAAGUGAUGGACGAGGUCGUCACUGGGAAGACUUUGACCACCGGCCUGCUCAGUCAGCACCAGCCUGGGGCUAAACGAGCAUCACUGCAACAACAAAUUCUUUUACACAUUUGUAAGUUUAUCGGAAAUAAAAUAUCUACUCAGCAUCUGAAUUUAAUUAUCCCUGGAUAUUACUAUUUUUAAAGAAUCUUCUAGCAAAACUUCAUGUUAUGAAAUAAGAAUCUAAAGAAUGUUCAAGUCUCAUAAAUUUGACUUAUGCUGAUGGCUGCCUUUUAAAUGUCACAUAUAUCAGUUUUACAAUCGUUCGCCAGUACACAGUAAUAUUGUUGAUAAAGGACUCCCUUUCUUUUAAUUUUGAUAAUAUCUACGGGGAAAGCUUUAUCGUAGAACAACAAACACAUUAUUUCUGUCACAUUCUCAUAUUCAACCCAUUCUUUCUGUCUGAAGUUCUGCCCCCAAGGGACCUGAAUACUCCAGCCUUUCCACAACAAUAAAUACUUUCUCCAAACACCCUGAGAACUUUGAAGAUAAUUUUUUUAUGAAUAAAAGAAGCAAAAACAACCCGUUCGAGUUAACGAAAAGCAAUCACGUUAAACAGCUUUCACACAUCAAUAAGAUUUGAAAGACUUACUUAGCAUCACUUGAAAAUAUGUUGCAGCCACAGACCACUGAGACUACAAACAUCUUAUAUAGCUACUACACACACACACACACACACACACACACACACAAACAUUUAACUAUUGAUUUGUGGGUUAACAAGGCUACCAGAGGUUUCAUGCCGGGAGAAAGUUUUUUUUUCUCAGCAGUUUUAUCCUGUAUCUAUCGAGAUGCACCAAGCAAUAUAAACAACCCCUGUUUGAAUCAAUGUUCUAAGUUCAAAUUUUAUCAGGGUUAAUUUUGCCUUUCAUGCCUCUCGCGUCCAUAAAAUAAAGACAACAAACUUUCUCUCGCUAAAAUUGCUAGCCGUGUGUCAAAAAUUAAAGCAAUUAUUUACUUAUUUUUGACGAAGAACGUGAUCAUUUGGGGGUGGGGAUUCAGUUUACCAUAAAAUGUUAGGGCAGUUAUUUUGCUGGUAUCUGUGUUGGUAAGGAGAAAACGUUGGUUCCAGUAAGAUGUGAACCCAGAUGUUAGAAAGAAAAUGUGACUCCUCUGAUUAUUUUGAUACCGACCACCUUGUGACGCAGCGUGGGGUGUGCAAGGUAUGUGAUUAGCUGGGGUGGCCAUAUUAUCUAUGCGUGUUUGCUGUAGUCGAAAGUACAUUAGUUUUAAGGAAGUAGGACCGGCUAAUUUGGCUACUCACAAACCGGCCACAACUUACACCAUGCCAUUACGAUCGCCAUUGCAUAACACCUCUCAUCUCCAUGAGACUUACCAUCAUUUACAUACUGGAGAUUGAUCUUUAAAUAAUAAAACCAUUUAUAAGGCUGUUUGUUUGUAAAGAAGCCUAGAAGCGUUAAAGGUCCAGACGGUAGAGUGUUGAUUGCUGACUUAAUCUCAUGAUACAAUUUUCUUCUUUAACAAAAAAACGAGAACUCACAAAUUUUGAAAUUGGUAAAAUAACAACAGCAGCAGUAACAGCAGCUGUAGCGACGGCAGCGGUUACUGCUGCUGCUGCUGCUGCUGCUGCAAUGGCGACGGCAGUUGCUGCUGCUACUACUACAACAGCGGCAGCGCGGAUGGUGGUAAAGGCGGGGAGAGGCGGGGGUUAGCGGCGGUAGUGAUGGGACAACGGCAGCAACGACGGCAACGAUGACAGCAGCAGCAGCAGCAGUAGCAGUAGUAGUAGUAGUAGUAGUAGUAGUAGUAGUAGUAGUAGUGGUGGUGGUGGUGGUGGUGGUGGUAGUAGUAGUAGUAGUUGCUGUUGGUUCGUACCAGAUCUGCCCUCAUCGUACAAAGGGUUCCAACCAGAUGCAGGCCUCUACGCUGAUGCGAUAACAUGUACAGUUGCAUACUAAAGUAGGCAGAGUAAACUUACAAUGGAGGAGUAAGUUCAAUGAUGGUUAUUUAUGUCAGUUAAAAAUACAUGAUUUAAUGUCUGUAAACCAGAACAAACUAGAACAGAGAAAGAAGCAGAGCAUAUGAUGACGUCACCUCUAACUUCACCUAUUUUUUAA